UACGGGGGGUGCGAGCGUUGUCCGGAAUCACUGGGCGUAAAGGGCGCGUAGGUGGUUUGAUAAGGGUGUGGUGAAAGUCCGGGGCUCAACCCCGGAUCUGCCGUGCCGACUGUCAAACUCGAGGACUGUAGAGGCAGACGGAAUUCCUGGUGUAGCGGUGGAAUGCGCAGAUAUCAGGAGGAUCACCGAUGGCGAAGGCAGGUCACUGGGCCGCAACUGACGCUGAGGAGCGAAAGCAUGGGGAGCGAACAGG
rnacentral:rRNA from 1 species